rnacentral:rRNA from 1 species
CCUGACGACCAUAGCAGGUUGGCCCCACCCCUUCCCAUCCCGAACAGGACCGUGAAACGAUACUGCGCCAAUGAUAGUGCUGAAACCAGUGCGAAAGUAGGUUAUUGUCAGGC